rnacentral:tRNA from 1 species
GGUAAGAUGGCCGAGUUAAGCGGUGGAUUGUAGCCCCACAAACAGAGGUGUAAGCCCUCUUCUUACCA